CCACCAGCUUCUCUCAGUUCCCCAAAGUACACAGGCUGCAUUGAAUUUGGCUCCUUCAACGACAAAGCUAUAAGCCUUUAUAAUUUCCAAACUGCAUAUAAUGUUAACCCAACGACGCCAUGCAAACGACAAGUGGUUCCUGAUGAGUCUGAUUUCUUCGAGGGCACCGGAUAUGCCAGAAUGUUCUUAAAUAAAGUAGGAUCUUUCAUCAUCAUCAACUUCUCCGUCUAUAGCCGCUCGGAAAAUGGACUUUUGUUUUACAUCGGGACUGAGGAUAAAUACUUUGCUGUGACGAUUGAAAAGGGUGUUCUGAAGCUGCAAAGUAACUCCCUCAAAGAACCACCAACAUACAGCGACACCAAGAUUUUCCCUAGGGAUGAGUUUGCAGAUGGCGUCAUUGUCUUACAAAGCAAAGGGACCAUCACAGUGCGUCUAGCUACAGA
ensembl:lncRNA